GUGCCUCAAUCUAAUGAGUAAGGAAAUUAUUGGGCCUUGAUGACAUCUCGGCUAUGCCCACUGGGCGGAACUAUUUUUGACGGGCACAGGUCGUCCCCUUGAGCUGCGCGCCUACUUUGCGUGUGGUUCGGGUGAAGCGAUCUACCCG